GCUACCUUGGCUCAGUGGUAAACAGCGUUUUCCCGCCCUGAGACCGAACCUCCUUGAGGGACUGGGGUUCGAAUCCCUAAGGUAUCA